rnacentral:lncRNA from 1 species
AAAUCUCCAAAAAUUAAAUUCCAGCCCUCAAACCCCACAACAGGACUUAAUUAACCUCACCUUCAAGGUGAACAAUAAUAGAGUAGCAGCAGCCAAGUAGCAACAUAUUUCUGUGUUGCAAUUCCUUGCCUCCACUGUGAGCCAAACCCCAGCCACAUCUCCAGCACACAAGAACUUCCAAACGCCUGACGGCAGCUGCAAGGCGUUCCUCCAGAACCUCCUCCCACAAGAGCUUGCUACAAGUGCAAGAAAUCUGGCCACUGGGUCAAGGAAUGCCCACAGCCCAGGAUUCCUCCCAAGCUGUGUCCCAUCUGUGCCACUGAAAAUCGGACUGUUCAACUCACCUAGCAGCCACUCCCAGAGGCCCUGGAACUCUGGCCCAAGGCUCUCUGACUCCUUCCCAGAUCUUCUCGGCUUAGCAGCUGAAGACUGAGACUGCCCGAUUGCCUCGAAAGCCUACAGGACCAUCACAGACUCUCUGGGUAACUCACAGUGGAAGACUGUAAUCCCCCUGCCUUCUAUCAAGGUGAAAUGUUAACAAGUUUAAAUAUCCAGCGGUGCUCUUCCUUCCUUGGAUGAAACUUUCUAAGCUCUAUCACUUGUUUAUAGGUCUGGAGAAAUACAAUGAUCCUGAAGAAAACCUGAGCUUAUGUGAAGCAACUUUGUUUUCCUUUGACAAACUCCCAUUUCCAACACCAGAAUCCAACUGCAAGGAAAUGAAGCAUAAACAGCUGAAUUUAGAAAUCUUCUAAUUCUGAUUUUUUUAUUUUUGUUUUUGAGACAAAGUCUUGUCCUGUGGCCCAGGCUGGAGUGCAAUAGUGUGAUUAUAGCUCACUGCAGCCUCGAACUCCUGGUCUCAAGUGAUCCUCCCACCUCAGCCUCCCAAGUAGCUGGGACUACAGGCAAGAGUCACCAUGCCUAGCUACUUUUUUUUAUUUUUGUAAAGAUGGAAUCUUGCUAUGUUGCCCAGGCUGGUCUCCAACUCCUGGCCUAAACAAUCCUCCCACCUUAGCUUCCCAAAGUGCUGGAAUUAUAGACAUAAGCCACCAUUCCCAGCCUAAUUCAUAUUUUUAAGCAGGAAGCAUAGUCUACCUUAUAACUCCUAUGCUCUUCUUCCAAAACCUUUACCCUGUAGUUUAUGAACUGCGAUGAAGGACCAAGUAUAUCUCCAUUCUAACAGCACAUUAUAAUGUCCACACAAUAUAUAAAUAAAAGAAAAGCAGGCCGGUCACGGUGGCUCACACCUGUAAUUCCAGCACUUUCAGAAGCCAAAGUGGGUGGAUCACUUGAGGCCAGGAGUUGAAGACCAGCCUGGCCAAAAUGGUGAAACCCCGUCUCUACUAAAAAUAUAAAAAUUAGCCAAGUGAUGGUGGCACAUGCCUGUAAUUCCAGCUACUUGGGAGGCUGAGGCAGGAGAAUCACUUGAACCUGGGAGGCAGAGGUUGCAGUGAGCCAAGAUCAUGCCACUGCACUCCAGCCUGGACAACAGAGCGAGACUCCAUCUCAAAAAAAAUAAAAAGAAAAAAAGAAAGGCAAUGUGGUACCAUGCCUUAGGAUCGUACAUACGUCACCCAACUCGCUUACCUACUGUAAUGGACGUUUGUUGCUCUUGCUUGUACGGCACUCUUUUUCUAGAUCUUCCUUUGGACAACCGCCUCCUCCCUGCCUUCAUUCCUGUGGUUUGGUGAAGCUGACACUUCUCCCAGCUAUAGGGAGGGGCGUGAGCCACAGGCCAAAGUCAAUCAGUGCAUUCCAUCCACCAGCCCAGAGACUGAAUCAGCAAAGGUCCCAGAGCUCCACUUGGGCCAAUGGCAGUCAGGCCAAGGACUUUGUGGAACUGUUGCUCAGAGGACAGGUACUCACCUUGCACUGAAACUGGAGUGAUGGGAGUAUGAACCUGGGGCUACUAACAGCCAUCUUGCCCCAGAAGGAAGUACUUCCCUAAGUUUAAUGCCUACCCAGAGGAGGGCAGAGCAGAUAGACAAGAGACAGGGUUCUGGGGUCAACUGUGUCUGAAGUCAGAGACAUGAAAUAAAUUUCGUUUUUUGCUCAGAUUCAGGUCUUGCACAGAAACUGAGCCUUGAUUUUCCGCAGAAUAUACUGUGACCAAGCCUCCUGCAGGGCUGCCUGUACGUUAAAGAAAUGGAAGCGUCUUGAAUCGUGUCCAUCGUCCCUCCUUUACACAAAGUAAUCACCUCCAGCUGGGCCAAGUUGAUUGAGGAAACGUUCAGUUUUCACAUGAUUUUGCUGUAGCACCAUAAUGAAUGUAUUUCUUUGAUGGAAGAAAGAAGCUUCAUGAAAUAAACUGCUUAAGGAUUUGAAGUUGGAGCUGAAAACAUGGGCUGCUUUGUUCUUAAUGACAACUGCUUUGCCAUCUAAAACAUUUCUCCUUUUUGAAGGAUCUGUCUUUUCUCUUCCAGCCACAACCCUCGAGCUACAAUAACAGGCUCAUGAUUUUUUUAGAUGCCAAGGUUAUGAAUACUCUUUUAUGAAUAUUUUCCUUUGAACUCAUUUCUCUUGAAGAAGAAAAAUAGCCCUACAUAUUGCAGGAUUGACAAUAACAGACAAAACGUACAAAUUGUUCUCUUAGGGGCAGUAAAAUGCUCCAAAAUGCACAUAGAAAAAUUCCAAAUGCAACCUGAUGUUUAUGGAGCACUGCCUUUGCAGCUAUAAUUUUUAGAAAGUAAUAUUUCUGACUGACAUGAAUUAUACAGAGCAUAUUUCAGAGACUAAUAUCAGGUUAAUGCCUUAAAAUGUCUCCGUUUAUGACAUCAUGGCUGCUUUUCCUAUAUCAGUGCAAACUCUUAGUGAGUAGAAUUUGAGGAUAUGUCUUUUCAAAGGAAGAAAACCUUCACUGAAUUAAGCUGCUUAUGGUUUUAUUUUUUCUUUUAUCCCAUUUCAACAUAUCCACCAACCUCCUCUAAAAAUAAUUCAACUAAUGUGAACUCAACAGAUUAUAGUAGAUCUCUUAUUAAUUUCAUUUUGCCUCCAAAGGAGCUUAUCAUUUAGGCUUAUAAUUAUGUAUGCAGUACUGUCGACUAAUGUUUAGGUUCCUCAUUAAAACUUCAUUUCAUUCUGUUUUAAUAUCAUCAGUCUGUUAGACCAUUUAUUUUCUCAUGUUAAAAAAUAUGUGUUUUCCCUGAACUCUUUCCAUAUGUUUUCUCUCAUCCAAAAAAUCCAGAAAACUCAGCUCCCUUUAAUCCUGCUUUGUGGCUUAGAUACUUUAGCCUGGAACCACUCGUGUUGAUUUGUAUAUACCCACACUUACGCAAAAAUAGCCUUCACUACGGCAGAGUAAUCAUUCUGCAUAGAAAUUAUGUGUCUCUGAAGCCUAUGUUGUCAGGUGAAUCGUGGCAGCAAUGACCUAAGAAUGCAUCCCCAGUUUGAAAUGACCUAUAAAAAUUUCAAGAUACAACUAUUGCUUUGCAUUUGGCAUCGGGAAUAUUCUGUAUAGUUCUUUUCAUGUAAAUGGGCAAUAUUCUAGAAUGGUUCCCAAGUAUAAGCUUUAGAGCUAGACUUCUUGGGUACAACUCCCACUAUUACCACUUACUAGUUAUGUAAUAUUGGAAAAUACACUUAACUACUCUGAGCAUCAUAAAGUAAGCUUACUAACA